rnacentral:lncRNA from 1 species
AUGAAUGGGGAGCGAAGCGUUCGCAGCAACUCAUUGUUAAAAGCAGGCGAGCCCGAGACUCGGGAGGCGCCGGGCCAAUGGGAGCCUGGAGGCUCUUUUGAAAUCGCUCAGGCGUCAGCCAAUAGGCGCGCAGGAGGCGAAGCCCCCGCGCCGGCAUCGGCCAAUAAACUCGGCGCUAUGCUAAGCAGCCGGGGACCCGGCCCCUCCGACUGUCAGCGGGUUAAAGAUGGAGCCGACAGGCGAGAGGGCGCCACGAGGUGCGGGGGUCGUCCGGGUGGGGAGCACGGCGACGGACAACGGCCAAGACCCCCGGCUCCCGCUAGCCUCCCGCGUCUUGCCCUUGCCUUGGGUGGAAGGGUCGUCCAAGUGAGUAGCUGGGUCUGGGGCGAGGGACGCCCCCCACCGGGUCCCGCGAAGCGAGGGGAGAGGCACUGUCGGGACCCCCGGCUCCCCCUCUCGGCAGGGAAACCAGAAGGCGGGAAGCCCCCCCACCCCAACCCAUCCCCCAUUCUCCUGCUUCGCUCAGUUCAGGAGUCCGCUGGGGCGCAACGGGGAAUUCACGGUUGGGGGGCCAGGGGCCAGAGGCUGGGGUCCCGAGGCGGAAGGGGUCCCGGAGCCGGAAGGUUGGUCUGGGCGCAGGGUCGUCGGGCUGAGGCAUCCUUCCCUGGGGGCUCCGGCCGGACUUUGGACUGUGGCGGAGCGCGGGCCCCUCUCCUUUGUGUCCAGGCUCCCCUCCACCGUCCGGCCCGCCGCUCCCCGGGGUUUGCAGCUCUAUCCCCGCCCCCAUCCUCCGGUGUGGAGCCCCUGCCCUCCCGUCCCCAUGGCCAUCCCGAGACGUCUGGGGGUGGGGGUGGGGGUGGGGGUGGGAGUGGGAAAGAUCUUAGUUGCCCCGGGUUUCUGAAGACGCCCAUUAUGGCAGCCUGGCCGGGAUCUGGCCCAUUCCCAAAGUGUCCUGGACAGGGGCUCUGGUCCCACCGACGCGGGGCCCUGUGUGUGUUGGGGACCUUGGUGUCCCCGCUGCUGGCUGCAGGUGCUCUGACGAGGUUGCACUACUGUGCUCUAAGAAGCAGUGCAAUGAUAUUGUCAAAGCAUCUGGGACUAGCCUUGGGGACCCCCCUCCCCCCACAAUCGGCUCUUACCCACCCCCCAGGUCGGGCUGUGGGGGGGGGCUUGAGCCUGCCAACCCUCCCCUCCCCCUUUGCCCAGUUCACUCGCUUCUCCAUGGAAACUUGA